AAAAAAAAAUUAAAAAUGAAUUGCCAAGAUGUGGAAGCCCCUUUGGCCCAAUGGUUGACCAAAGGUUUAUUAAUGCUUCUACACUAAGAGGUAUGGGGUUCGAGUCCCAGCUACUACGAUUUAUUAGCAGAUUUGCAGAUUAAUGGAGGCAAGUGUGCAGGAGAUUUACAACGAUAUACAAUUAUAGCCGUUCGCCAGGAUUCUACGCAGAGAAGAUAUUGAAGGUGUCCAUCAAGCGCAUGGAAAAGGAGAAGGAGGUAUCGUCUGUCCUAGAUCUAAUAAGGGUCGGAAGGAAUUGUCCGUGAUAGAAUCGUCUAUGUAACAAUUCUCAUAAUUUGUAAUAAAU
rnacentral:sRNA from 1 species